rnacentral:rRNA from 1 species
UACUGGGCGUAAAGCGUACGUAGGCGGAUUAAUAAGUUAGAGGUGAAAUCCCAGGGCUCAACCCUGGAACUGCCUUUAAAACUGUUAGUCUUGAGAUCGAGAGAGGUGAGUGGAAUUCCAAGUGUAGAGGUGAAAUUCGUAGAUAUUUGGAGGAACACCAGUGGCGAAGGCGGCUCACUGGCUCGAUACCGACGCUGAGGUACGAAAGUGUGGGGAGCAAACAGGAUUAGAUACCCUGGUAGUCCACACCGUAAACGAUGAAUGCCAGACGUCAGCAAGCAUGCUUGUUGGUGUCACACCUAACGGAUUAAGCAUUCCGCCUGGGGAGUACGGUCGCAAGAUUAAAACUCAAAGGAAUUGACGGGGGCCCGCACAAGCGGUGGAGCAUGUGGUUUAAUUCGACGCAACGCGCAGAACCUUACCAACCCUUGACAUACUUGUCGCGGAUUCCAGAGAUGGAUUCCUUCAGUUCGGCUGGACAAUGUACAGGUGCUGCAUGGCUGUCGUCAGCUCGUGUCGUGAGAUGUUCGGUUAAGUCCGGCAACGAGCGCAACCCACGUCCUUAGUUACCAGCAUUUAGUUGGGUACCCUAAGGAGACUGCCGGUGAUAAGCCGGAGGAAGGUGUGGACGACGUCAAGUCAUCAUGGCCCUUACGGGUUGGGCUACACACGUGCUACAAUGGCAUCUACAGUGAGUUAAUCUCCAAAAGAUGUCUCAGUUCGGAUUGGGGUCUGCAACUCGACCCCAUGAAGUUGGAAUCGCUAGUAAUCGCGGAACAGCAUGCCGCGGUGAAUACGUUCCCGGGCCUUGUACACACCGCCCGUCACACCAUGGGAAUUGGGUCUACCCGAAGGUGGUGCGCCAACUAUUUAUAGAGGCAGCCAACCACGGUAGGUUCAGUGACUGGGGUGAAGUCGUAACAAGGUAGCCA